CAAUAGCGUAUAUUUAAGUUGCUGCAGUUAAAAAGCUCGUAGUUGGAUUUCGGGUGGGAAUGGCCGGUCCGCCGUUUCGGUGUGCACUUGCUACGCCCACCUUGCUGCCGGGGACGUGCUCUUGAGUUCACGCUCGGGACACGGACUCGGCGAGGUUACUUUGAGUAAAUUAGAGUGUUCAAAGCAGGCCUACGCUCUGAAUACAUUAGCAUGGAAUAACACGAUAGGACUCUGGCCUAUCUUGUUGGUCUGUAGGACCGGAGUAAUGAUUAAGAGGGACAGUCGGGGGCAUUCGUAUUUCAUUGUCAGAGGUGAAAUUCUUGGAUUUAUGAAAGACGAACUACUGCGAAAGCAUUUGCCAAGGAUGUUUUCAUUAA
rnacentral:rRNA from 1 species